rnacentral:miRNA from 1 species
UAUUAGAUUGGUGCAAAAGUAAUUGCAGUUUUUGUCAUGUAAAGGCAAUGACAAAAACUGCAAUUACUUUUACACCAACCUAAUA